UAGUCCCUUUUUUAAUCUGGGGUAACCACAACGGAAUGAACUGUCAACUUAUCCAGCAUAUGUUUUACGCAGUGGAUGCCCUUACAGCUGCAACCCAUCACUGGGAAACAACCAUAUACGUUUAUUCUCACUCAUACACUACAGACAAUUUAGCCUACCCAAUUCACCUGUACCCCAUGUCUUUGGACUUGUAGGCAAAACCGGAGCACCCAGAGAAAACCCACGCAAACGCAGGGAGAAUUUGCAAACUCCACACAGAAAUGCCAGCUGAUCCAGCCGAGGCUCGAGUCAGCAUCCUUGCUUAUUGGAUGCCUGAUUGCAGUUCAACUCCAAACUCAGUUGGACCAGCUGAUCAGUGUCUUCAGUAUUACCACAAGCUACUGGGCAGAUGUGUGGACACGACAGCUAUGAGCCAGACUUGGGACGUUUGUUGGUUAUAUUUUUCAGGUCAUUCUGUUCUCCUGGUUGUGAGCAUGUGCAGAGGCUGUAUUUGUCAGUGUUAAAAGACUAUCCAGACAUACAAGCAGCCGACAAAGAGUUCUGGAGCAGGACAGACAGGGCAGCACGGUGGCGCAGAGGGUAGCACGUUUGCCUCACAGCAAGAAGGUCGCUGCUUCGAGCUUCGGCUGGAUUGGUGUACGCUGAUGGUCUGCUGAGAAUUCUCCGGAGUUGAAGGGAUCCUCCUGUCAGACAACCUCUCCAAAGUACAAUAGGACUAGGUUCCCACUACAAGGAUUAGAUUUGGCUACUGCAGUCCCGGUUUGGGCCAGCCUCACUUGUGAAGACUAAAGAUGAAGACAACAUACAAGAACAAUUUAGAGGAUGGCGACACACUUUUUAUUCCACCUAUAUAUCCCCUUUUAUGUGUAAGCAAAAUUCCACAAGAUAAAACAAAACUAAAUGACAGGUUGUUUCUUUUAAUUUUAUCGGUUUUCUUGGAACAUUGUACACAAUUUACAACCAGUUAUAUAUAUAUAUAUAUAUAUAUAUAUAUAUAUAUAUAUAUAUAUAUAUAUAUAUAUAUAUAUAUAUAUAUAGGUCAGAGCAAGAAAAUGUUAUGUUUUCUUCUGGAGAAAGUCUUAUUUCUUUUAUUUAUAUUUUAGUUUUGAAUUAAAAAAAAAAAACAUUUUAAGGUCAAUAUUAUCAGCCUCUUUAAGCAAUUUUUUUCGACUGUCUACAGAACAAACCAUCGAUAUACAAUAACUUGCCUAAUUACCCUAACCUGCCUAGUUAAGCCUCUAAAUGUCACUUUAAGCUGUAUAGAAGUGUCUUGAAGAAUAUCUAGUCAAAUAUUAUUUACUCAGUUAUUAGAAAUGAGUUAUUAAAACUAUUGUGAUUAGAAAUGUGUUAAAAAAUAUUUCCGUUAAACAGAAAUUAAGGGAUUAUAUAUAUAUAUAUAUAUAUAUAAUCCCUUAAUUUCUGUUUAACGGAAAUAUUUUUAUAUACAAUAUAUAUAUAUAUAUAUAUAUAUAUAUAUAUAUAUAUAUAUAUAUAUAUAUAUAUAUAUAGAAUGACAAAAUCUGUUUUGUGUCGUGCAUUAGUUUGCUUAAAAAAACUGGUUAUCUCUGAGAAAGUAUUGUUAUUUUAUAAUAUUGAUGUGUUAUUAGUUCAUAGGAGAUUUCAAAUUGUUGAAUGCCAUUUAUAAAAAAAAUUGUACUACAGACUUUAAUAAGAUUUUAUCAGACAAUUAUUUUAAUUUGUAUGAUUUUAUUUACUACUGUAAAUAUUGUUUGCUUGGUAUUUAUUUUGUGUUUGUGUUCUCUUUUAUUAUUGUAACUCCCUGAAGAAAGUCUUUUGGAUACUGAACACAUGACUGGAAUUAUCUUGUAUUUUAAAAUUAUAGUCUUGGAAAUAUGCAUUUUCUUUAACACUAUUUAAGAAAUUAUAAGCAUUAUAACAUGUGCUUACACACGUUAUUUGUGUUUUUACUAUAGUAAACUAUAGUCACCCUUAGUGUACAUCUUUUGAAGUACUUGUAAAUAUUCCUAUGGUCUUAAUAUAAAUGCUGCAAUGAACUUUGUAUUUAAAAUCUUUAUUGCACAGUAGCUUAGCCAUGGUUAUAGUACAACUUGUUGGUUUUGUUUUAAACGUGGUGGUUAUGUGUGAUAAAAGUAUGUUAAUCUAUUUGUAUGUUUGUGAAAAUAUUAAUAAAUCUUCAACUGUUA
ensembl:processed_transcript